rnacentral:rRNA from 1 species
UACGUAGGGGGCAAGCGUUUGUCCGGAUUUAUUGGGCGUAAAGCGCGUGUAGGCGGCCACGCAGGUCCGCUGUGAAAACUCGAGGCUCAACCUCGAGCUGUCGGUGGAAACCGUGUGGCUAGAGUCCGGAAGAGGAGACUGGAAUUCCCGGUGUAGCGGUGGAAUGCGCAGAUAUCGGGAGGAACACCCGUGGCGAAGGCGGGUCUCUGGGGACGGUACUGACGCUGAGACGCGAAAGCGUGGGGAGCGAACAGG